rnacentral:lncRNA from 1 species
CUGUAUUCAAUUAUUCACAACGAAGGAGAGCCAUUAAAAUUAUGAACAUCUCUACAUAUGUUUCAUGUAUCGUACAUAUAUAAAUAUACUUUAAAUGUAUAGUUACAUAUCGACAAAAGUUUCUAGCCGCUCUAAGCUUGCAGGUAAAACAAAGAUUUUGUAAUGUAACACCUGUAUAUGCAUAUACACUGGCUGUUUGAAUUAUGAAUUUAUUUACAACUUGCCUAGUUUAUCAUAAAUGAUUAUUGUUAUAUUAUACAAACAGAAAAGAUUUCUUUUAAAUACAAAGACUGCAAAUGAAUACAUGAAAAAAUUACACACAUGUACUGUGGAUACAGAUCCAUUGAGUCUAAAAAUCAGCAUUAUUACGAGAUUCAUUGUAUUUUUGAUAUCCUGUAACCCAUAUGUCACUCCAGCAGCUUCCUGUCAGCAAGGAGAUUAUAGAUGCCUUGGCUA